GUGGACGUAGCUCAGUUGGUAGAGCGCCGGGUUGUGGUCCCGUAGGUCGUGGGUUCGAGACCCAUCGUCCACACCA
rnacentral:tRNA from 1 species